AUACGGAGGGUGGCAAGCGUUGUCCGGAAUUACUGGGCGUAAAGGGUGCGUAGGCGGCAUUACAAGUCUAAUGUGAAAUCCCCGUGCUUUAACAUGGGGUUUGCAAUAGAAACUGUAAAGCUAGAGUGCAGGAGAGGUAAGUGGAAUUCCUAGUGUAGCGGUGAAAUGCAUAGAUAUUAGGAGGAACACCAGUGGCGAAGGCGACUUACUGGACUGUAACUGACGCUGAAGCACG
rnacentral:rRNA from 1 species